rnacentral:rRNA from 1 species
GUAUACAAAACUGCGAACUGUAAAAACUAACACGAAAUCCCGUCUGAUGUGCCAAGUUAAGCAACUUGGCGCCUGGUUAGUACUUGAAUCAGAAACGGCUUGGAAAUUUCAAGUGUUAUAAGCA